rnacentral:rRNA from 1 species
UAAGGAAUAUUGGUCAAUGGACGCAAGUCUGAACCAGCCAUGCCGCGUGAAGGAUGAAGGUCCUCUGGAUUGUAAACUUCUUUUAUCUGGGACGAAAACGGGAUUUUUAUCUCAAUUGACGGUACCAGAGGAAUAAGCACCGGCUAACUCCGUGCCAGCAGCCGCGGUAAGACGAAGGAUGCAAGCGUUAUCCGGAUUCAUUGGGUUUAAAGGGUGCGUAGGCGGGCUUGUAAGUCAGUGGUGAAAUCUCUCAGCUUAACUGAGAAACUGCCAUCGAUACUGCAGGCCUAGAGUAUAGAUGACGUUGGCGGAAUAUGACAUGUAGUGGUGAAAUACUUAGAUAUGUCAUAGAACACCGAUUGCGAAGGCAGCUAACGAAACUAUAACUGACGCUGAGGCACGAAAGUGCGGGGAUCAAACA